rnacentral:rRNA from 1 species
CUCAAAUCAGGUAGGACUACCCGCUGAA